rnacentral:tRNA from 1 species
CGGUAUAGCUCAGCUGGUAGAGCAUCUGAUUUGUAAUCAGAGGGUCGCGGGUUCAAGUC